CACUACUCGUCCACCAAGCUGGCCUGAACUCUGGGAUAAGCGCUGGUGACGGCGUCUCGCACUGGAUAUGAGCUGCGGAGGCAUGUUCAAGGUUUAAAAGAUUUUUCGGUUUGGGAUGGGCUCGCGGCCUAUCAGCUUGUUGGUGAGGUAAUGGCUCACCAAGGCGUCGACGGGUAGCCGGCCUGAGAGGGUGACCGGCCACACUGGGACUGAGACACGGCCCAGACUCCUACGGGAGGCAGCAGUGGGGAAUAUUGCACAAUGGGCGGAAGCCUGAUGCAGCAACGCCGCGUGAGGGAUGACGGCCUUCGGGUUGUAAACCUCUUUUAGCAGGGAAGAAGCGAAAGUGACGGUACCUGCAGAAAAAGCGCCGGCUAACUACGUGCCAGCAGCCGCGGUAAUACGUAGGGCGCAAGCGUUAUCCGGAAUUAUUGGGCGUAAAGAGCUCGUAGGCGGUUUGUCGCGUCUGCUGUGAAAACCCGAGGCUCAACCUCGGGCCUGCAGUGGGUACGGGCAGACUAGAGUGCGGUAGGGGAGAUUGGAAUUCCUGGUGUAGCGGUGGAAUGCGCAGAUAUCAGGAGGAACACCGAUGGCGAAGGCAGAUCUCUGGGCCGUAACUGACGCUGAGGAGCGAAAGGGUGGGGAGCAAACAGGCUUAGAUACCCUGGUAGUCCACCCCGUAAACGUUGGGAACUAGUUGUGGGGUCCAUUCCACGGAUUCCGUGACGCAGCUAACGCAUUAAGUUCCCCGCCUGGGGAGUACGGCCGCAAGGCUAAAACUCAAAGGAAUUGACGGGGACCCGCACAAGCGGCGGAGCAUGCGGAUUAAUUCGAUGCAACGCGAAGAACCUUACCAAGGCUUGACAUACACGAGAACGCUGCAGAAAUGUAGAACUCUUUGGACACUCGUGAACAGGUGGUGCAUGGUUGUCGUCAGCUCGUGUCGUGAGAUGUUGGGUUAAGUCCCGCAACGAGCGCAACCCUCGUUCUAUGUUGCCAGCACGUAAUGGUGGGAACUCAUGGGAUACUGCCGGGGUCAACUCGGAGGAAGGUGGGGAUGACGUCAAAUCAUCAUGCCCCUUAUGUCUUGGGCUUCACGCAUGCUACAAUGGCCGGUACAAAGGGCUGCAAUACCGCGAGGUGGAGCGAAUCCCAAAAAGCCGGUCCCAGUUCGGAUUGAGGUCUGCAACUCGACCUCAUGAAGUCGGAGUCGCUAGUAAUCGCAGAUCAGCAACGCUGCGGUGAAUACGUUCCCGGGUCUUGUACACACCGCCCGUCAAGUCAUGAAAGUCGGUAACACCUGAAGCC
rnacentral:rRNA from 1 species